rnacentral:rRNA from 1 species
UACGUAGGGGGCGAGCGUUGUCCGGAUUUAUUGGGCGUAAAGCGCUCGCAGGUGGUUCAUUGCGUCGUGCGUGAAAGACCCCGGCUCAACUGGGGAGGGUCGUGCGAAACGGGUGAACUAGAGGCCAGUAGGGGGAUGCGGAAUUCCGGGUGUAGUGGUGGAAUGCGUUGAGAUCGGAAGGAACGCCCGUGGCGAAAGCGCGGUCCUGGACGCCUGCUGACGCUGAGACGCGAAAGCCAGGGGAGCGAACGGG